GCAGUCGCCGCGGGAAUACGGAGGGGGCUAGCGUUGUUCGGAAUUACUGGGCGUAAAGCGCACGUAGGCGGACAUUUAAGUCAGGGGUGAAAUCCCGGGGCUCAACCUCGGAAUUGCCUUUGAUACUGGGUGUCUUGAGUAUGAGAGAGGUAUGUGGAACUCCGAGUGUAGAGGUGAAAUUCGUAGAUAUUCGGAAGAACACCAGUGGCGAAGGCGACAUACUGGCUCAUUACUGACGCUGAGGCUCGAAAGCGUGGGGAGCAAACAGGAUUAGAUACCCCAGUAGUCCCUGUCUCUUAUAC
rnacentral:rRNA from 1 species